GUCUAUGGCCAUAUCACGCUGAACAUGCACAAUCUCAUCUGAUCUUGGAUGCUAAGCAGGGUCAGACCGAGUUAGUACUUGGAUAGGAGAAAACAGUAAAACAGAAA
rnacentral:rRNA from 1 species